AGCGCCGGGCCGUCCAGGCAGGUGAAGUUCCGCAGCAGCGCCCACUUGUCGCGCUGGAAUCUCGCGCUGGAAUCCUGCGCCGCAGGGCUCUCCAGCAUCCAGAACACGCCGGUGCCCAGUGCCAAGUAAGCCAGGGUGGUGAGGUCCUGCAUCUAUAGGCCGGAGAUAACAGAAGCAGUGGACAAGCACUUUUAUUCAGGCUGCUGUUUGGAGAACAAGGCUCGCUCCCCAGCGGCAGGGAGGGUGGAGGCCGAGAGACCAACCCCUGAGGACAGAGUGGCUUUUCAAGACAACGUGUCCCCGUGGAGGGAGCGCAGAAAACCCGAGCUAUCCUGGCUCUGCCAUUUGUUCUCUGGGCAAAUGAUCCCAUCUCUGUGUGCCUCAGUUUCCUCACUUGUCAAAAGCGGGAUCAUACUCUUGGCUCUGUGUACAUUAUAGGAGUGUUGAGAGCAUCCAACGGAAUAAUAUAAAUGAAAAGAAAGUAUGACUAGUAACAUGUCUUACAAAUUUUAAUAAAAGUGCUGCAUCCUUCAGCCCAGCUUUUUGCACCAUCUGGGCAUGGCAUUAGCCGGAAGACACCAUCUAGACACAGA